rnacentral:rRNA from 1 species
UACGUGAAACCGUUCAGGGGUAAACCUGAGAAACCCGAAAGGUCGAAGGGGGAGAUUCAUCGCGUCUCGCCUCGCCGGCACUGGGCGGUCGUGUGACGAAUGGCGUACGCGUCGUUUGCACCUUCUGCUCGCUGUGAACCGGUGGCGAACGUGUGCACUUCUCCCCUGGUAGGACGUCGCGAUCCGUUGGGUGUCGGUCUACGGCCCGUGGUGGAGCCCGUAGGCGAUGGCUUGCCAUUGUUUGCGGACCCACGGUGUUUCCCGGCCGACUCGCUCGACGGUGUACAGAUGGCGCAGGGCCGCGACUUAGUUCGCGUCUGGCCCGUGGCAAGCACGGUUAGGUGUGUUGGCGAUCGGACCUAGUGCCGGUCCCGGCCCCUGGCGGCUGUUGGCUGCGGUGUUCUCGGACAGACCUUGUUGAAACGCCAAUCUGCGACGCUAUUGCUUUGGGUACUUUCAGGACCCGUCUUGAAACACGGACCAAGGAGUCUAGCAUGUGCGCAAGUCAUUGGGACAUCACUAAACCCAAAGGCGUAAUGAAAGUAAAGGCUCGUCUUGUGCGAGCCUAGGGAAGAUGGGCGUGCCGUUCCUAAUACGGCGGCCGUCCCGCAUUCCCGGGGCGUCUCGUUCUCAUUGCGAGAAGAGGCGCACCAAGAGCGUACACGCUGGGACCACGAAAGAUGGUGAACUAUGCCUGGUCAGGACGAAGUCA